rnacentral:rRNA from 1 species
AACGCUAGCUACAGGCUUAACACAUGCAAGUCGAGGGGCAGCAUGAAGUUUGCUUGCAAACUUUGAUGGCGACCGGCGGAUGGGUGAGUAACGCGUACCCAACCUGCCCCCUUCCCGGGCACAGCCCUUGGAAACGAGGAUUAACGCCCGAUGGCGUCAGGAUGCCGCAUGGCAUUCCGACCAAAUGCGAAGGAAGGGGAUGGGGGUGCGUCCCAUUAGCUAGUUGGCGGGGUAACGGCCCACCAAGGCAUCGAUGGGUAGGGGUUCUGAGAGGAAGGUCCCCCACACUGGAACUGAGACACGGUCCAGACUCCUACGGGAGGCAGCAGUGAGGAAUAUUGGUCAAUGGAGGCAACUCUGAACCAGCCAAGUAGCGUGAGGGAUGACUGCCCUACGGGUUGUAAACCUCUUUUGUCGGGGAAUAAACCGCGCCACGUGUGGCGCCCUGCAUGCACCCGCAGAAUAAGGACCGGCUAAUUCCGUGCCAGCAGCCGCGGUAAUACGGAAGGUCCGAGCGUUAUCCGGAUUUAUUGGGUUUAAAGGGAGCGUAGGCGGGCUGUUAAGCCAGCCGUCAAAUUGCGGGGCUCAACCCCGUACCGCGGUUGGAACUGGCGGCCUUGAGUCGGCAAGAGGCGCGUGGAAUUCGUGGUGUAGCGGUGAAAUGCAUAGAUAUCACGAAGAACUCCGAUUG